UUGAUUCAUUUUCGAGACGCCCGCUAGGGUCGCCGAGAAAGGCUCAGAGCAAAAAUAAAACAGAGCCGCGACGGGAGCCGCGACGGAGAGAGAAAAGAGUUUGGAGUUGGUCCUCCGGCGGGCGCCAUGGGAUCCGGGGCUGCGACGCGCCCGGGGCAAGAGAAUCCCGCCGAGGCAACAGAUUGGUAACGUUCACAUUGGGGUUUGGGAGUUGUAAACUCGGUAAUGAUCCCUCCGCUGGUUCACCAACGGAGA
rnacentral:misc_RNA from 1 species